rnacentral:rRNA from 1 species
UACAGAGGUCUCGAGCGUUAGGCGGAAUCACUGGGCUUAAAGCGUGUGUAGGCGGGUCGUUAAGUGCCUUGUGAAAUCCCAUGGCUCAACCAUGGAACUGCUGGGCAUACUGGCGAUCUUGUGCAACCUAGGGGCGAGCGGAACAGAUGGUGGAGCGGUGAAAUGCGUAGAUAUCGAUAGGAACUCCGGUGGCGAAGGCGGCAUACUGGACCACAUCUGACGCUGAGGCGCAA